GAUGAAGAACGUAGCGAAAUGCGAUAAGUAAUGUGAAUUGCAGAAUUCAGUGAAUCAUCGAAUCUUUGAACGCACAUUGCGCCCGCCAGUAUUCUGGCGGGCAUGCCUGUUCGAGCGUCAUUACAACCCUCAGGCCCCCGGGCCUGGCGUUGGGGAUCGGCAGAAGCCCCCUGUGGGCACACGCCGUCCCUCAAAUACAGUGGCGGUCCCGCCGCAGCUUCCAUUGCGUAGUAGCUAACACCUCGCAACUGGAGAGCGGCGCGGCCAUGCCGUAAAACACCCAACUUCUGAAUGUUGACCUCGAAUCAGGUAGGAAUACCCGCUGAACUUAAGCAUAUCAAUAAGCGGAGGA
rnacentral:misc_RNA from 1 species